rnacentral:tRNA from 1 species
GAGGGCAUAGCUCAGUGGUAGAGUGCAUGCCUAGCACGCACAAGGUCCUGGGUUUGAUCCCCAGACCCUCC